AUUGAACGCUGGCGGCAGGCCUAACACAUGCAAGUCGAGCGGAUGAAGGGAGCUUGCUCCUGGAUUCAGCGGCGGACGGGUGAGUAAUGCCUAGGAAUCUGCCUGGUAGUGGGGGAUAACGUCCGGAAACGGGCGCUAAUACCGCAUACGUCCUGAGGGAGAAAGUGGGGGAUCUUCGGACCUCACGCUAUCAGAUGAGCCUAGGUCGGAUUAGCUAGUUGGUGGGGUAAAGGCCUACCAAGGCGACGAUCCGUAACUGGUCUGAGAGGAUGAUCAGUCACACGGGAAAUGGGAACCGGUCCCGAUCCCGACGGGGGGCAGGAGGGGGGAAUUUGGGACAAGGGGCGAAAGCCUGAUCCAGCCAUGCCGGGGGUGUGAAGAAGGUCUUUGGAUUGUAAAGCAAUUUAAGUUGGGGGGAAGGGAAGUAAGUUAAUACCUUGCUGUUUUGACGUUACCAACAGAAAAAGCACCGGCUAACUUCGG
rnacentral:rRNA from 1 species